AGACUACCUCGUAGUUGUCUUCGGACAGUUUCCCGAAUCUAGGGGGCGGCAUUCUUGCUGUAAUUUUGAUAAAGCAUGUUCGCACGGUGUUGAGACAGGUACACAUAUGCACCACUACACAGUGUACACUGUCUCCGAAUUCUCUGUCCCUGAAAUUAAAACAAGCACAUUGGAGAAAAAGCUUCUUAAACAGGCCCUUUUUCGAUGGAUCAAUGCUGCGUGUCCCGUCCAUGGAGCUCUCAAGAGGUUUCCGGACAGCGUCUUUCACCUUAUUGUUAUUUUAGGGCCUGUAGGGUAACUGUUGUAGGUUUUCGCGUGUUUUUUGGUAUGUUUGCACGUUAUACGUGCAUUAUGUAGGUUUUUUUGUUUUUUUUGUUUUUUGGUGCAGUUUUACUGUACAUACAACAACAACCAAAUGUAUACAAUUACACUGCCUAUUAGAUCAACGUGUUAGCGGGGGGGGG